GGGGAUAUGGUUUAGUGGUAUAACGCUUCUUUAGCACCUUGAGAUUUCGUCUCACUGUAAUAUAGAAGAGGUCCGGCGUUCGAUUCGCCGUUUCUCCA
rnacentral:tRNA from 1 species